rnacentral:lncRNA from 10 species
UUGUAUAAGACAUCAGUUGGUAUAAAGCCUGGACCCACUCCUUGUCAACUACCAUAGUUUCCCUGGGAUAUGAAGAGGAGAUAACUGCAGAUAAGACUGAAGAAGGAUGGAAGCUGAAGGUUUACAGAGAACAAAGUUUUUGAUACUUCCAACUGUGAAAACACUUUAAGUAUUCAGAAGAAAAGGUUGUAUCAUAAAAUUAUAUAUAUGUGUUCACAUUUAAAACCUCAAUAUUCUAUAAAGAUCUGAAUUAAAAUUAACUUAGAAAGUAAUUUUGUCUUAUGAGAUGACUGAAUGGAACUAUUAAACACAUAACUUAUUCAUAUGAUUUUAUUUUUAUAUAUCUUUGCAGGAAAAGGUAUAUGUAAAAUGAGGUAGAACUAAAUCAGUGAUUCUUAACCCAGAAUCACUACACUGUAAUAGAAAUAUGAAUGUGAUUCCAGUGGUACAUGUAACUCUAAAAUUAAAUACAAAUUCUCUGUGUGAUUAUGUAUAUAUCCAGAGUUUCCAUAAGAGCUCUGCUACAUCUACUUAGACUCUUGGAUGAU